GGGUGUGGGGGCGCUCCAGCUGCAACAUCUGUCACCCCACUGCCUCGCCGACCGGCCUGGGUCCCCCGCCCCGCUCACCGCUUCAGGUGCAUCCCUCCCAAAGCUGCUCAGGGGGAGAAGAUGACCUUCCCCAUUCUGGAGUCAAGGGUAGACCGGGAGCUGCGCUCCCCUGCUAGAACCUGCAGACAAGCUCUGCAGGUCCAUUUGUAGGAGAGGGUGGGGUAGUCAGGCCCCCACGACCCCAGACACAUCCAAGUGAGGCGCGGCACGAGGCGGUCUGCCUUUCUU
rnacentral:snRNA from 2 species